GAUGAAGAACGCAGCGAAAUGCGAUAAGUAGUGUGAAUUGCAGAAUUCAGUGAAUCAUCGAAUCUUUGAACGCACAUUGCGCCCCUUGGUAUUCCAUGGGGCAUGCCUGCUCGAGCGUCAUUUGUACCUUCAAGCUUUGCUUGGUGUUGGGUGUUUGUCCAUUCUCUUGCAGAGGGACUCGCCUUAAAGUAAUUGGCAGCCAGUGUUUUGGUUUUGAAGCGCAGCACAAGUCGCGAUUCAAAGCUAUACGCCCGCUUCCACAAGCCUUUUUCACUUUUGACCUCGGAUCAGGUAGGGAUACCCGCUGAACUUAAGCAUAUCAAUAAGCGGAGGA
rnacentral:misc_RNA from 1 species